rnacentral:misc_RNA from 1 species
GAUGAAGAACGCAGCGAAAUGCGAUAAGUAAUGUGAAUUGCAGAAUUCAGUGAAUCAUCGAAUCUUUGAACGCACAUUGCGCCCGCCAGUAUUCUGGCGAGCAUGCCUGUUCGAGCGUCAUUUCAACCAUCAAGCCCCAGGCUUGUGUUGGAGCCCUGCGGCUGCCGCAGCCUCCCAAAACCAGUGGCGGGCUCGCUAUCACACCGAGUGCACUAGUUUACUCUUCGCUCAGGGCGUGUGGCGGGUGCUAGCCGUGAAACCCCCAACUUCUCAAGGUUGACCUCGGAUCAGGUAGGAAUACCCGCUGAACUUAAGCAUAUCAAUAAGCGGAGGA